AUCACGUUUAAUUUGUGUUUUUAAGUAUCCCGUAAUUUUAUUUUAUUUUUGUGAUAAGUCUACCCUACAUACGUGUUAAUAAUAAAACUGGGUUUUUGAUAAUUCUGCACGAUUCAUGACAAUAAAUUAUCUAUAUAUGGCUUAUAUGAUACAGUCGAUAUCCAAUCACCAUAAAACCCUAUCUUUAGUACAUGGAGCAAAAUAACUUAGAAAUAUUUCGUUCAAGUUCCAAACCCAAUACGUCAAAAUGUUUAGAAAAAUCACCCGAUUCAUUGUUUGCAUUAAAACAUGUAGGUUCUCGUUGAAAAAUCGAAAUCGAUAUUAUACCCCUUAUUAGUCCUUAAAUGUUGUGAAUUUAUCCUUCAAAUAUAUCGUCUUUCAUUGCCUUUAGAACUUUAAAAAUGUUUGCAUAAUUUAACCAUAGAAUGGGUUGAACAUGAUUAUAACAACCACCAUGUUUACAAAUGAGGGAUUCCGAUCCAUUUCUGCAGUGGCGACGGCGAUGACACAACAUCAUCAAAACGUUAACCGCACACGAGGUCAAGUCAAGGACUUUAUAAUAUAUUAUAAAAAUAUAUAUAUAUAUAUAAAAGUAAUUAAACGCGGACAAAAAAUAAGAGAAAAAAAACCGGAAAAAGUUUAAAAACCGUGACGGUGGUAGGAUAUAAUGAUCGGUUUUUUUUUUUUUUCGAAAAGCACAAAAUAUUACUAAUACGCGUUCCGGUUCGAAGUACCGGUUAUUACCGGCUAUUACCGCAGUUAUUAAAAAGAAAAAAAAACAACGAAUUUUCGUUUUUAUCGUCGUCGG